CCCUCAUCGGUGGUGGGGGGUAAAAAGUUUUAUUGUGUUUUUUGAUGUACUCGCCUCCUAUCWGCUUGUUGGUGAGGUAAUGGCUCACCAAGGCGACGACGGGUAGCCGGCCUGAGAGGAUGACCGGCCACACUGGGACUGAGACACGGCCCAGACUCCUACGGGAGGCAGCAGUGGGGAAUAUUGCACAAUGGGCGCAAGCCUGAUGCAGCGACGCCGCGUGACGGAUGACGGCCUUCGGGUUGUAAACCUCUUUCAGUAGGGAAGAAGCGAAAGUGACGGUACCUGCAGAAGAAGCGCCGGCUAACUACGUGCCAGCAGCCGCGGUAAUACGUAGGGCGCAAGCGUUAUCCGGAAUUAUUGGGCGUAAAGAGCUCGUAGGCGGUUUGUCGCGUCUGCCGUGAAAGUCCGGGGCUCAACUCCGGAUCUGCGGUGGGUACGGGCAGACUAGAGUGAUGUAGGGGAGACUGGAAUUCCUGGUGUAGCGGUGAAAUGCGCAGAUAUCAGGAGGAACACCGAUGGCGAAGGCAGGUCUCUGGGCAUUAACUGACGCUGAGGAGCGAAAGCAUGGGGAGCGAACAGGAUUAGAUACCCUGGUAGUCCAUGCCGUAAACGUUGGGCACUAGGUGUGGGGGACAUUCCACGUUUUCCGCGCCGUAGCUAACGCAUUAAGUGCCCCGCCUGGGGAGUACGGCCGCAAGGCUAAAACUCAAAGGAAUUGACGGGGGCCCGCACAAGCGGCGGAGCAUGCGGAUUAAUUCGAUGCAACGCGAAGAACCUUACCAAGGCUUGACAUGAACCGGAAAGACCUGGAAACAGGUCCCCCACUUGUGGUCGGUUUACAGGUGGUGCAUGGUUGUCGUCAGCUCGUGUCGUGAGAUGUUGGGUUAAGUCCCGCAACGAGCGCAACCCUCGUUCCAUGUUGCCAGCGCGUUAUGGCGGGGACUCAUGGGAGACUGCCGGGGUCAACUCGGAGGAAGGUGGGGACGACGUCAAAUCAUCAUGCCCCUUAUGUCUUGGGCUUCACGCAUGCUACAAUGGCCGGUACAAAGGGUUGCGAUACUGUGAGGUGGAGCUAAUCCCAAAAA
rnacentral:rRNA from 1 species